rnacentral:rRNA from 1 species
UGGGGAAUAUUGCACAAUGGGCGCAAGCCUGAUGCAGCAACGCCGCGUGAACGAUGAAGGUCUUCGGAUCGUAAAGUUCUGUUGCAGGGGAAGAUAAUGACGGUACCUUGUGAGGAAGCCCCGGCUAACUACGUGCCAGCAGCCGCGGUAAUACGUAGGGGGCUAGCGUUAUCCGGAUUUACUGGGCGUAAAGGGUGCGUAGGUGGUCUUUCAAGUCGGUGGUUAAAGGCUACGGCUCAACCGUAGUUAGCCUCCGAAACUGGAAGACUUGAGUGCAGGAGAGGAAAGUGGAAUUCCCAGUGUAGCGGUGAAAUGCGUAGAUAUUGGGAGGAACACCAGUAGCGAAGGCGGCUUUCUGGACUGCAACUGACACUGAGGCACGAAAGCGUGGGUAGCAAACAGG